AGGACUGGGCACCGUCAUUUAAUUGCUUGUAAUCUAACUUCGCUUUUUGUCCCUAUUUUCCUUCCUUUCUUUCUUUUCUUCUUUUUUUUUUGUAUCAGUUAAUCUGUUGGUUACAUUUUCAGCUUUUCUUUGCUUCUGGUUUCAUUUUCAGAUGAAAAAAAAAAUGCUAGGCACACAGGGCUGCUGUCUGGUUGCCAUGGUGACCACAGCCUAUUAUCCUGCCUUGUCAUUCAUCAAGAAAGAAUUGCACUUGACAGAGGCAGAGGGAAAUGCCUGCAGUCUGCAGCAUAGGAAGGGAAAAAAGCUUUUCUUGUCUUCUAUAUACGUAAAGGCCCUUUAAUGCCCGUUUAGUUACAUGUUUUAUUUAGCAUUAUUUAUUACUUGUAACGCUGAUAAUUGAUACCUGUAAAAAUACAACCCCUCCCUUCAACGUAUUUAACGUGCAAUUUGUCCAUUUGCUUUGCUUUGCUUUUCCCAUUUCAGACCCAUAACUGGUGUUACACCCCCACUCCCUGCCACCACAAAUACUGAGUCCAUUCCAGGAAUAGAAACCGCCGAAGGAUUACAUUCUCCACGGAGAAUGAUCUCUAUGAAGGGAGAAGAUGGACAAUGUCUAUACGCCGUCUUCAGUUGGUCACGCUGCAGCAGUUAGCAUAACCAGUUCUGCGGGAGAUUAAACCACACUGGCUUCAGUGUGUGUGGACAACUGGAGUGAGGACACAUUCCACCCUGUCUGAAGACUAUCUCCUGCUAGAGAUCAAAUGCAGCUAGCACAUACAUGGCGGCAAGCCGAAGCACUAUUCCAUUACAAAUGAAGCAGAGAAUGGAAGAAUUAUUUGGUCAGCUUGGUAUUCAAGAUGGUUGGGAUUCUGACAGUCCCACUACUUCCUUAAUUAUCUUGAUAAUUUUGGCAAGAGGAGGUUUGUGGGGUGGAGAGGGAUAAUUCUGAAGAAUUAAAUAAUUAUAGCUGUCAGGAAAUCCAUCCAGGGUUUUAUAAAUUCCUGUGUAAUAGUUGAAAAUCUCUUGAUUUUCAUCUUAUAUAAGCUAAAUCCAUUAGCACAUACCUUAGAGAAUCUGUUAGAUGACCAGCCAUGUAAAAACACAGGUCCUGUGGAGUGUCUUUUGGUUUUUGUUCUAUUUUUAUCUUGACUUUUACAGGAUAAAAAUCAACCAAAACAACAACAAAGAGAACAGACAUGUUGUAUUUAAAACCGUACCUAUUUCUCUCCGGUUCUCAGCUUUUCCUUUAAUGCCGCAGUAAUUCCACUGUUCAUUUCCUGUUCAACUUCAAACCUACCUUUUGAUUUUCAAAUGUCCCUUAGGCUAAUGUUUUCACUGAAGAAUGAAAUGAACAGACAGAAACAAUUAAGUGAGCAGAUACAGUGCAAAGGAACACCGGCCCUUGCUUUCACACGACUGCAAGUGUAGGAAGGAAUUCUGCUUGGAAUCUGAUCUUCCAGCCACAGGGUUUUUGCAGCUCACAUCAUUUUUCUUCUGCAACCCCCCUCAGCCCCCAGUGCACCGCAUGCCACUUCUCCUUUAUGGAAGAAAAAGAUCGAGACGCACAAAGAAAGGCCCAAAUACUUACAGGCAUGGGAAAUAUUUUCUCUGCCUGUUACUAGGACCGGAUAAGCUCCAAGAAAGAAAAUCCACCUAGAUAUUUUAAACUGGGAAUGUCUCCCCAAAGCCUGUUAAAUGUUCACAUGUGUCUUCAUGAAAUUUUGUAAUAUGGAUUGUUUACACAGCCCUGAUUGAGGGCAUGAGCGCCAUUAAAAAGGAUCAAGUCGGUUCAGGGAUGGAAAAUUGUAGAGACCAAAACUGUUAUCCACAAGGAGAAGUGUAGAUUUUUGGUUUCUUUUAAAUAAUAAUAUGCAGGUCUUGAUAUUAAAAGGUAUUUCAACAACCAAGUGUAAGCUGUUGGUGAUCCUUCAAAGUUCUAUAAGGAAUCAACAAAGCAGUAAAUCAUUCUCCUCAAACAGGUCUGAAGGCAAAUGCUGAAGGCAUUGCUGGUGCUCUAUGACAUCUCUCUCUCUUUCUAGUGGCACACUAAGAGAUUUUCCAUGGUGGGAGCCCACCAUUCCUAGUGUGUGCUUUACUUAGUUCAGACAUUGUGCUAUGAUUUGGGGAGACUGGCUCCAGCUCCACAAGGUGAUUGCUGAGGAGGGAACCUCCUUGGGUCCGUCUCAGAAGACUGUAAUUCUUAGCUUCCAGGAGGCUGCAUGGCCGGUUCCCUCUGAAUUCAAGCUUCCACUUCUGUAGUCCAGAUAGAAUGAGGAGGUGCCUAUGAUAGACUCAGAAUACAAACCCCACAAAGCUUAAACCUGCCAGAUGUCCUCUGCAAAUCCAUGCCACACCUUGAUCCUGAAUGCGGAAGACGGGAGAGAUCCAUAGGAUUAUACUGAGUGGACGACAUGGUUUCCGUUUCUAACUUUUUUUUUAAAAAAAAAAUGGAACACAUACCUCAGAAUUUCUUAAUAAAACACCUCUCUUGUAAAACAGA